rnacentral:rRNA from 1 species
GUAGGGUGCGAGCGUUAAUCGGAAUUACUGGGCGUAAAGCGUGCGCAGGCGGUUUUGUAAGACAGAUGUGAAAUCCCCGGGCUUAACCUGGGAACUGCAUUUGUGACUGCAAGGCUAGAGUACGGCAGAGGGGGGUAGAAUUCCACGUGUAGCAGUGAAAUGCGUAGAUAUGUGGAGGAAUACCGAUGGCGAAGGCAGCCCCCUGGGUCGAUACUGACGCUCAUGCACGAAAGCGUGGGGAGCAAACAGGAUUAGAUACCCUGGUAGUCCACGCCCUAAACGAUGUCAACUAGGUGUUGGGGGAGGAGACUCUCUUAGUACCGCAGCUAACGCGUGAAGUUGACCGCCUGGGGAGUACGGCCGCAAGGUUG